UACGUAGGUGGCAAGCGUUGUCCGGAUUUACUGGGCGUAAAGAGCUCGUAGGUGGUUUGUCGCGUUGUCCGUGAAAACUCACAACUCAAUUGUGGGCGUGCGGGCGAUACGGGCAGACUGGAGUACUGCAGGGGAGACUGGAAUUCCUGGUGGUAGCGGUGGAAUGCGCAGGAUAUCAGGAGGAACACCGGUGGCGAAGGCGG
rnacentral:rRNA from 1 species